rnacentral:rRNA from 1 species
UGAGGAAUAUUGGUCAAUGGGCGAGAGCCUGAACCAGCCAAGUAGCGUGCGGGAUGAAGGCCCUUGUGGUCGUAAACCGCUUUUAUCAGUGAAUAAAGUGCAUCACGUGUGGUGUCAUUGCAGGUAGCUGAAGAAAAAGGACCGGCUAAUUCCGUGCCAGCAGCCGCGGUAAUACGGAAGGUCCGGGCGUUAUCCGGAAUUAUUGGGUUUAAAGGGAGCGCAGGCGGGAGUAUAAGUCAGCUGUUAAAUAUCAGGGCCCAACUCUGUUAUGCAGUUGAAACUAUAUUUCUUGAGUACGCACAGGGAUGGCGGAAUUCAGGGUGUAGCGGUGAAAUGCUUAGAUAUCCUGAAGAACUCCGAUCGCGAAGGCAGCCAUCCGGAGCGUAACUGACGCUGAGGCUCGAAGGUGCGGGUAUCGAACAGGAUUAGAUACCCUGGUAGUCCGCACGGUAAACGAUGAAUACUCGCAGUUCGGCCCUUUAGGUCGAGUUGUCCAGCGAAAGCGUUAAGUAUUCCACCUGGGGAGUACGCCGGCAACGGUG